UGAACCCACCGCCAGGAACCGGUUAUCUGGACUGAACCUGGACCAAAACAGACCAAUCGUAACCCAGCACAGAGGAGACGAGAAAUAUCUGGGUCCUACGGUCCCAGAUUCUGAUAGUCCCGUCAUCGCUGGCUGAGAUGAAGACGUCUUUGAAAGGGUGAGCUGUUAAACCCCAGAUCCCUCCCUGAGUGUGUCCGUUGAUCAUGGUGUUGGAGGCAGCAUUCUUCUCUCCAACCUCGAUGAUCUCCCCGUCUUUGGUUCCCACCAGGAUUUUACCCUUAGACCAGAGAGAAUCAACAGAAAACGGAUCGGACGUUCUCCACCGGCUGGCCAGUCUCCAGCUGAAACGCUCGGCAACGCUUCAUCUCCUGGUCCCAGAGCUUCACAGCACCGCCCUCUUUGGUCCUGAGAACACCAACAUCAUUAAAGGAUCCCCAACAUGAACCUCAACACUGUCCAUCUGUUGUUUAUCAAUCUAAACUAGAAGCUGCAUCACCUGAGUAGGAUGUCCGUCCGUUUAUAUUUAUUCAAUAAAGAGCAGUGCCACAAGG